rnacentral:rRNA from 1 species
UGCAAGUCGAGCGAAUCUUUAGGAGCUUGCUCCUGAAGGUUAGCGGCGGACGGGUGAGUAACACGUGGGCAACCUGCCUGUAAGACUGGGAUAACUUCGGGAAACCGGAGCUAAUACCGGAUAAUCCUUUUCCUCUCAUGAGGAAAAGCUGAAAGACGGUUUCGGCUGUCACUUACAGAUGGGCCCGCGGCGCAUUAGCUAGUUGGUGAGGUAACGGCUCACCAAGGCGACGAUGCGUAGCCGACCUGAGAGGGUGAUCGGCCACACUGGGACUGAGACACGGCCCAGACUCCUACGGGAGGCAGCAGUAGGGAAUCUUCCGCAAUGGACGAAAGUCUGACGGAGCAACGCCGCGUGAGCGAUGAAGGCCUUCGGGUCGUAAAGCUCUGUUGUUAGGGAAGAACAAGUACCGGAGUAACUGCCGGUACCUUGACGGUACCUAACCAGAAAGCCACGGCUAACUACGUGCCAGCAGCCGCGGUAAUACGUAGGUGGCAAGCGUUGUCCGGAAUUAUUGGGCGUAAAGCGCGCGCAGGCGGUCCUUUAAGUCUGAUGUGAAAGCCCACGGCUCAACCGUGGAGGGUCAUUGGAAACUGGGGGACUUGAGUGCAGAAGAGGAAAGUGGAAUUCCACGUGUAGCGGUGAAAUGCGUAGAGAUGUGGAGGAACACCAGUGGCGAAGGCGACUUUCUGGUCUGUAACUGACGCUGA